UGGGGAAUAUUGGACAAUGGGCGCAAGCCUGAUCCAGCAAUGCCGCGUGUGUGAAGAAGGCCUGCGGGUUGUAAAGCACUUUCAGUAGAGAAGAAAAGCUCAUGGUUAAUACCCGUGAGUCUUGACGUAACCUACAGAAGAAGCACCGGCUAACUCCGUGCCAGCAGCCGCGGUAAUACGGAGGGUGCAAGCGUUAAUCGGAAUUACUGGGCGUAAAGCGCACGUAGGUGGUUUUGUAAGUCGGAUGUGAAAGCCCAGGGCUUAACCUUGGAACUGCAUUCGAUACUGCAGAACUAGAGUAUGGUAGAGGGAAGUGGAAUUUCCGGUGUAGCGGUGAAAUGCGUAGAUAUCGGAAGGAACACCAGUGGCGAAGGCGACUUCCUGGGCCAAUACUGACACUGAGGCACGAAAGCGUGGGUAGCGAACGGGAUUAGAUACCCGGGUAGUCC
rnacentral:rRNA from 1 species